GACAGAGGGGGCAAGCGUUGUUCGGAAUCAUUGGGCUUAAAGCGCGCGUAGGCGGCCUUGUAAGUGUCUUGUGAAAUCCCACGGCUCACCCGUGGAACUGCAGGGCAAACUGCAAGACUUGAGGGCGGUAGAGGCGCCUGGAACUCUAGGUGGAGCGGUGAAAUGCGUAGAUAUCUAGGGGAACGCCGGAGGCGAAAGCGGGGCGCUGGGCCGAUUCUGACGCUGAUGCGCGAAAGCGUGGGGAGCAAACGGG
rnacentral:rRNA from 1 species